rnacentral:rRNA from 1 species
UCCUACGGGAGGCAGCAGUGGGGAAUUUUCCGCAAUGGGCGAAAGCCUGACGGAGCAACGCCGCGUGAGGGAUGAAGGCCUCUGGGCUGUAAACCUCUUUUCUCAAGGAAGAAGAUAUGACGGUACUUGAGGAAUAAGCCACGGCUAAUUCCGUGCCAGCAGCCGCGGUAAUACGGGAGUGGCAAGCGUUAUCCGGAAUUAUUGGGCGUAAAGCGUCCGCAGGCGGCCUUUCAAGUCUGCUGUUAAAACGUGGAGCUCAACUCCAUCAUGGCAGUGGAAACUGAUCGGCUUGAGUAUGGUAGGGGCAGAGGGAAUUCCCGGUGUAGCGGUGAAAUGCGUAGAUAUCGGGAAGAACACCAGUGGCGAAGGCGCUCUGCUGGGCCAUUACUGACGCUCAUGGACGAAAGCCAGGGGAGCGAAAGGGAUUAGAUACCCCUGUAGUCCUGGCCGUAAACGAUGAACACUAGGUGUCGGGGGAAUCGACCCCUUCGGUGUCGUAACUAACGCGUUAAGUGUUCCGCCUGGGGAGUACGCACGCAAGUGUGAAACUCAAAUGAAUUGACGG